rnacentral:rRNA from 1 species
UAGGGAAUCUUCGGCAAUGGGGGCAACCCUGACCGAGCAACGCCGCGUGAGUGAAGAAGGUUUUCGGAUCGUAAAGCUCUGUUGUAAGAGAAGAACGUGUGUGAGAGUGGAAAGUUCACACAGUGACGGUAACUUACCAGAAAGGGACGGCUAACUACGUGCCAGCAGCCGCGGUAAUACGUAGGUCCCGAGCGUUGUCCGGAUUUAUUGGGCGUAAAGCGAGCGCAGGCGGUUUAAUAAGUCUGAAGUUAAAGGCAGUGGCUUAACCAUUGUUCGCUUUGGAAACUGUUAAACUUGAGUGCAGAAGGGGAGAGUGGAAUUCCAGGUGUAGCGGUGAAAUGCGUAGAUAUAUGGAGGAACACCGGUGGCGAAAGCGGCUCUCUGGUCUGUAACUGACGCUGAGGCUCGAAAGCGUGGGGAGCAAACAGG